rnacentral:tRNA from 1 species
GGAAUAUAGCUCAGUGGGUAGAGGGCUUGCUUCACAUGCACAAGGCCCUGGGUUUGAUCCCCAGCACCA